GACGUAGGGCGCGGAGCGUUGUCCGGAUUUAUUGGGCGUAAAGAGCUCGUAGGCGGUUUGUCGCGUCUGCUGUGAAAAUCAGGGCUUAACCCUGGACCUGCAGUGGGUACGGGCAGACUAGAGUGCGGGUAGGGGAGAUCGGAAUUCCUGGUGUAGCGGUGAAAUGCGCAGAAUAUCAGGAGGAACACCGGUGGCGAAGGCG
rnacentral:rRNA from 1 species